rnacentral:rRNA from 1 species
UCCGUAGGGUGCGAGCGUUAAUCGGAAUUACUGGGCGUAAAGCGUGCGCAGGCGGCUCUUCAAGUCAGAUGUGAAAGCCCCGGGCUUAACCUGGGAAUGGCGUUUGAAACUGGAGGGCUGGAGUGUGGCAGAGGGAGGUGGAAUUCCACGUGUAGCAGUGAAAUGCGUAGAGAUGUGGAGGAACACCGAUGGCGAAGGCAGCCUCCUGGGCCAACACUGACGAUCAUGCACGAAAGCGUGGGGAGCAAACAGG